rnacentral:rRNA from 1 species
GGACCAAGGAGUCCAGCGAACGAGCGUGACGCAAAGGUUCAUUUUAUGGAAUCCGUCAAACUUAACGAAAGCAAUCGAGGGUCGUCGUAGUAUUAUAUAUACCACGCGGCUCGUGUGUUUGUAUGAUGAGACGUGUUAUGUUUAUGAUAGAUUUAUCUAUUAUAAAUAGCGUCUAGGCAAAUCGGAGAUGGCAAUUACGCGUCAGCAAUGGCGCUGCCGUACUCGUAGCUCGUGCUCUGGAACCCGAAAGAUGGUGAACUAUGCAUGGAAAGGAUGAAGCCAGGGGAAACUCUGGUGGAGGUCCGCAAUGGUUCUGACGUGCAAAUCGAUCAUCAGAACUAUGUAUAGGGGCGAAAGACCAAUCGAAUCAUCUAGUAGCUGGUUCCUUUCGAAGUUUCCCUAAGGAUAGCUGAGGUCUAGUAACGAUAGUCACAUGCGGUAAAGCGAAUGAUUAGAGUCGUUGGGUUCGAAACGUUCUCAACCUAUUCUCAAACUGUUAAUGUGUGUGUUCUCCAUUAGCUAGCGUGCUACGUAGCAAGUGGAUAGAUAGUAAAGGCCUUCAGUGGGCCAUUUUUGGUAAGCAGAACUGGCGAUGCGGGAUGAACCGGUCGUAAAGUUAUAGUGCCAAAAUCAACGCAUAUCGGACCCCACAAAAGGCGUUAGUAACUAAAGACAGCAGGACGGUGGCCAUGGAAGUCGGC